rnacentral:rRNA from 1 species
AGAGUUUGAUCCUGGCUCAGAACGAACGCUGGCGGCAGGCUUAACACAUGCAAGUCGAGCGCCCCGCAAGGGGAGCGGCAGACGGGUGAGUAACGCGUGGGAAUCUACCCAUCUCUACGGAAUAACGCAUGGAAACGUGUGCUAAUACCGUAUACGUCCUUCGGGAGAAAGAUUUAUCGGAGAUGGAUGAGCCCGCGUUGGAUUAGCUAGUUGGUGGGGUAAAGGCCUACCAAGGCGACGAUCCAUAGCUGGUCUGAGAGGAUGAUCAGCCACACUGGGACUGAGACACGGCCCAGACUCCUACGGGAGGCAGCAGUGGGGAAUAUUGGACAAUGGGCGCAAGCCUGAUCCAGCCAUGCCGUAAGAGUGAUGAAGGCCCUAGGGUUGUAAAGCUCUUUCACCGG